AAAAAACAAUGUUGUUCAUUUAAUAUUAUAGAAAUAAUACACUAACAGCAUUAACUUACUGGCUAACACUUGAUGACAAUUUUCUCUCACCAUUCGGAAUUGGUGUAAGAGUGUAAGAAAUUCUUCUGGCCUCCGGCCAUCGGGAUGAUCUUACACUGAAACAGUGCGUCUUCAUGGAUAAUUCCGGAAAAACAUUAUCAUGCAAAUAACAAGAAAUCUCUUAUCAUGUAAAUAGAAAGAAAAACGCUUAUCGUGUGAAAAGAAACAAAUGCACUUAAUAUGUAAAUAAACAGGAAUGCACUUAUCAUGUAAAAAGAAAGAAAGGCACGUUUAAUGUAAAGAGACAGAAAAAAAACUAUACCCAGAUUUUUUUUUUCGAUUAAUCGAUUUAUGGUAUACCACUGUUAUUUUACAAGUGAAUAGACUAUUUAGCGUGUAAAUAAAGGCAAAAAUAACUUUUCUGUGCCGUAGAAAGAUCAACCAACUCACAGAAGUUUAAUUAAGAUGAUACAAAUUCUUCUUUAAUUUGCUUUCAGAAAAUUUUAAAGAAGAUGUUGUUUUACUUGAGUUAAUGCAAAAUGGAAAAAAUUGCUUUAGAUUUCUAUUAACAAAAAUGACUUUCCUAAGCAAUCAUCCCUUGUAAGAACAGGUAAAAAAAGACUUAGACCAACAUAAAAAAAAAACGUCUAAAUUGUUAUAUUUUAUACACAUAUACAAAUUCUUGAAUAAACUGUCAAUAUUUUUUUUAAUGAAUUACAUUCCUACCAAUACAUUUUCUAUUUUUUUAUAAU
rnacentral:lncRNA from 1 species